AUGUACCACUCGUACACUCCGUUCCUCCGUUCCUCCGCGCCGUCCACGCCCGCCUGACGACUGCUCGCUAAGUUUUGUUAGCC
rnacentral:sRNA from 1 species